ACAUUUUCCUAAUCUGGAUUUUAUUCCAUUUAUUACCAGUCAUCUCUAUUUUAUUUAUUUCUGUCCUCUACUCUCCCUUGCACUGCUCUGCUCCCAAACUUAAUUGUUUUUCUAAUGUCCUACUACAAAAAGUUUAGUACUGAGGAUAUAAUAGAAUAACAGCCCUUGUGGUGACUUUACAGAUGCUUUCUUCUAAAUCCUCCUCAAUUUAAAAUCAAGAAAAACAGAAUCUCAUAAAAGUACAUUAACUUAACCCAGAGGUACAUAGGGAUUAGCCAACAAGGAGAUGGAUGUUUCUGUCAAAUACAACUAAUGACUAUCAUCAUCUAAGGCCUGGAGUGUUGGUUGGAUUAUGAAUUAUGAAGACAUCAAUUAAAGAAAUGAUAAGACUAUGGUAGUAUAAGAAGAGUUCCAGAUUUGUAGUUAAAACAGAUUUGGACUCAGGAUGGGGCUAUAUACUAUCUGCAUAUCCUUGAGCAUAGCACAGCCUUCUAAGACCUUGGUUUUCCUAUUUUUAAGAUAACAUGAUUAGUCUAAAAGAAUAUAAACUUGGAAGGGUCAUCUUUCAAAACUAGAAGAGGUCAGCACAUAUUUUGAACAUUGUUUUGAUGGAAACAAUGUCCAUAAUAUUGAAAUCACAAAUCUUUGAAAUAUUUAAAGUACAAUUACAUAAAAUAUAAAGUGAGACCUGGAUACAGGCUGUCAAAUGAAAUUUUCCUUAAAAGAAUGAGGAACAGACUAUAACAUAGAAAAAGGGAAUUAGAAAGGGCCUUGUCAAGGUACUUUACUCCCCUAUUUCUGCCUUCAGAUAAUUUUAAGAAUACUUGGCUAAGCUGCAGAUCUCAUUAAGAGUAUUUGGCUUUCCCCAUUCUGCUUAUUCCACUGUCUCUUAAAUCCUCAAAUUCUCAUAAUCCCUUUCAUUCAUUUUUCUAUUUUAGAUGUUGGCUUCACAUUUCUCUAUAGACAUGUACUUUUUUCUUCUGCAGUGUCCUUGGACAUGGAAGUCCUCAAAAUAGCAAUGACCAAUCUGUUCAUACUCCCAUUAGACCCACUAAGUUGCUACCCUUUCUCUUCUCUGAACUUUAUAUCAAUAUUUUUUUUCCUGUAACAAUGUUAUCUGUGCCUAAAAUGGUCCUGAGAUACACUAGGACUCACUUCUUCUAGUUAGACAUCUGAUUUCUAGAUGUCAAUAGGUAGAGAUCUCAAUAUUCCACCUUUUUGGAAAAUUAAUUUUAUGUCCAACACUAAUCUCAUUCAUGAUUCAGAUCUAUUUGCCAAUCUGAAGCAUAAAAGAAUAUUUGAGAUCCCCUGGGUUUAUAGAUCUGAAGAUUAGGCUGUUUGCUAGCAGUUCUUAACCACAAACAAUGGGGACAAAGAUCUAAGAAAAUACCAGGAACCAAAUAGCUAGUUAAAUUUCUUCCAGUUCCCUCAUACCUCAAUCUGUUCCCAGAAUGUCCUCAGCUUCCAUGUCCUAGGUUCUACUUAUACUUAGUCUUCUCUUCCUCCCCACCCCCCACAACACCUUUUAUGCUCCAUACAGGAGUUAGUAAAUUAGAGAAUUCUAUAAAAAAUGUGCUGCCCACUUGUUAUAAAGAUUGGGAAGAUUUAUUAUGAUAAUUAAAGCAUACAAACAUUUCUUCAGAGUUGUUAGAAGAUAUAGUUAAUAACUUUUUUGGUAUAGUCACCAGUGACUUCUUCUUCCCUUUGGGGUUGGGAGUAUUAGCCCAAGGACCCUAAAGGUCAGAAUAUAAAGAGGAAAUUAUCAGCAUAACAGAACCCUCACACCCCAAAAACAUGCCUGCCUCUGAUUUUGAAAAUGUUUAUAGUUUUCAGGAAUUGUUAACAGAAAAAUGCCAGCCCAGCCCUCAAGACUUGCCUGGAGGCUUAAUUUCUGUCUUAUCUCCAAAAAUAUUCUUAUUCAAUGUAUUUCUGAGGGGUAAAAAUGGUUUCCCAGGGGUGUGUGGGGGUGUGUGUGGGGGAAUUGGUUCCUUCACUAUUCUCUCAAAUAACAACCCUAGGCCAUAGGAAAUCUGAAUACUAUAUUUGGUCACAGUUUUGUUUUUGUUUCAUUUGUUUCUUUUCUUUUCUUUUUUUUACUUCUAAACUGAAGUUACCAUGAAAAGUGUGGAAGUUACUUCAUUCUAGUUAUUGUUUCCAAUUAAAAGUACUCAUUCUUGUAACUCCUUCAUCCACUUUUCAUUUGGAAGAGGGAAGAAGUUGUAAGAGAAAAAAGAUUGGAGUAAAAAGGCAAGGAAAAUCAGACUUUGGGUGAAACAGCAGGAUAAAAGGAGGAAGGGAGUUCAGAGAGUAUAACAGAACCAGGGAUCUAUGUUAUGAGCUUUCAUCUUGUCUCCAUAAAUAAUGACCUGAUGGGGUAGAACUUGUCAUUGACUUAUUGCUGGGUUGCUAUGGCCACUGUUGCUAUAAACAACUGUACAGUGUAAAGAGGUGUAGAAGCCUAGAUCAGUGAUCUCUCUUAAGGGACCACAAGAGAACUGGACAAUUCCACUCAUUUAUCUGGAGUGAAUGUCUGUCAUCAGAGCUGUAGCUUGAGCUGCUAAUAGAUAUUGUCCAGAAUUGGGUUCCAAGUGACAGAUAAAUCUUCAAAUUAGUAGUGCUGGAUUUCCCUUGAGAAAAGCAUUCGGUGCUAAAGAGAUUGUAAGAAAAACUUCUUUAAGCAAAAGAGAGACAUAAGCAAAAAUCCACCUAGAUAUUCAACCAUUAUUAAAUAGAAUAAUCAUCCUGUUUUUUAAGAGUACAUUUCUCCCAUCUUCUCUCCAUCUGCAAUUUUUUCCCAUUGGUGGAGACGCAAAGGGAGUGAUACUGUAGAAGUGCUCCUUCAUUCUUAUUUCCCAAUCAUUCUGACUUUGUAAUGAUGCUUGCCAUCUCUACACACAGAUGUCAGAUCACUGAUGCAUAAAGGACUGUCAUAGAUCAGUUGGGUACUUUCUCCCAAGAACUAAAGGAUUUACUGUGGAUGGGGUGAGAGGGAUUCACUUCUGGUAAUAAUUAACUUUGUGCUGCUAGGUUUGGGCUUGAGUACUAUAACCUCAUCUUACAGUUUUGCUGAGCCAAGUUUCUUUGAAUCUUGUUUUGAUACUGAGUGGUGAGGUUCCAGAAUUAUAGACCAUGCUAUUUAGGGGGUUAGAUUAGGUGCAGACCCUUGCCCUCUAUCUCCACCCUCAAAGAGAAAAGGAAGGAAGGAAAGACAUUAGCUAAUGUAUUGUAAUGUUAUUACUGUAAACUUGUUAGGGAGAGAGGUACGAUCUUUCUAAAAGCUGAGCAAGAAAUAAAGGUAGCAUUGAAGAGCCAGGGAGGUAUGGUGAAAGAGUAUUUGAAGAAAAGUUAAAAGCUCAUUAGGGUAAUUAUUGUUCAUUCCUGUCCAAUUCUUCAUGACCCAAUGGACAAAACAGCAUGCCACAAUACUGUCCUAGGAGUUUUCUUGGCAGUGAUACUGGGGUGAUGGGCAUUUCCUUCUCAAACUCAUUAUGCAGAUGAAAAACCCACAAAAGUAGUAGGUGACUAAGGUCAGAUUUGAACUCAGUUUUUUCCAGUUCUCUCUUACCAUGCUAUCUAGUUUUUUUUUCAAGUUUUUUUUUUUCAUUUUUUCAUUUUUACUUUGUAAUCUUUGAGAGUCACUUUCUUUUAGCCUUAGUUUUAUAACUAGUCAAUUGGAUAAGAAGAAGAACUAUUCUACUUAAGAGGGUUGUUUUAAGCAUUGAGAAUACAAGUUACCUUAAUGACUGGUGGGAGGAAGGGAAAAGGAGGAGAGGUAACAGCUAACUUUUUGAAAGUUUUGUCUGCAUAUUUGGGUCAUGAUUGAAAAUAAAAGUAAAGGUGAUAUGAGACAAAAUUUUAAUCAUUCAUUUUAGAAUAUAUGUAUAUGCAUAUGUAGAUAUACAUAUAUAUGCAAAUCUGUAUACAUAUACUAUAGACUUUAUAGUUAGUACAUGUAAUUACUCAGUCAUUUCUGUUGAGGGCUGAUUCUUGGUGACCCCAUUUUGGAGUUUUCUUGGCAAAGAUACUUUGCUGGUUUUUUCUAGCUCAGUUUACAGAGGAAGGUUAAAUAAGUUGCUCAGAGUUAUUCAACUAGUAAGUGAGUGAAGCCAGGUUUUAAUUCAGGAAGAAUAUUCCUGACUCUAGGCAUGGUGUACUCUCUACUGCAUUAUGUAGCUAUCCAUUAGUCUCUUAAAUAGACAUAUGUACAUACAUGUGUGUGUGUGUGUGUGUGUAUGAAAGAUUAAUUUUUCACCAAGUUUCUUCCCUUAGAUGAAGGUUAUUUAAGAAAUAUGCCUCAUUUAUUGACCUCAUAUUUGUGUUUUUAAUAAUAAUGGCUUCCCCUCUCAUUUCUUUUCUUUUCUCUUAGCAAUGUAGUACCUUCUCUUUCCUAGAUGUUGCUGUUAGGUAAGAAUGAAAUUCUGGAGUUAGUUGUUUAUAUUUACUGUUAUCACCUCCAGGUUGUCUCUCCUGGACACCCAGAAAAAUGCACCAGGCAUAUAGGCUUUUAGUUAUAAGAGACAUUAGUGAUCAUCUUACUCAACUUAUAUCUGACAAAGAAUUACUCCAAUAUCUGGAAGAAGCAGUCUUCCAGUCUUGAGACCUCUAGUGAUAUAGGUAAUCUAUUAAAUGCCCAAGAAAACAUUCUACUUUUGGAAAGGUUUAAUUGAUAGGAAAUUUAUCCACACAAAAAUUCCAAAGUUCCCUGUUACUUCAAGGAUCAAAUACAAAUUCCUUUGCUUGGGAUUUAAAGUCCUUUACAAUAUGGCUCCAAUCUACAUUUCCAGACUUAUUUUGUGUUACAUUCUUCUGUGCUUUCUCCCUCCCCCAAGUCUACCUGAUAACCAAACUUUCCUUCCUUCCUUUUGCUCACAUAGGAAACUCCCAUUCCCAAUUCAAAAACUCAUCUAUACCUGGUAUGUACUUGUUCCUCAACUCCACUUUUUUGAAUACCUAAUUUCCUUCAAAGUUUAUUUCAAAAUUACCUUCUAUAGGACACUUUUAUGAAAUCAUACUACUUGUUGUCAGCACUCUCAAUCUUGUAUUUAUUCUGUUGAAUACACUUUUACAUACGCAUGUUAGUUCUCCCUAAAGGAGAUGUAAAGCUUCACAUUCUACAGAAUCAUAAGCCUCAUUGUUUUUGGUAUCACCAGCACCUACCCAGCACGGUAUUUGCCAUAUAGUAGAUCCCACAGUUCAUGCUUGUUUGCUUGAUUAAAUUCACUUCUUUGCAAUUCCUUCUUCCAAAUUCUUCCUAACAUUUAUCCUAGUUUACCUUCUGGUUGAAUUCAAUUCACUUUUCUUGUGAAGUUGCUGAGUUCCCAUCUCCUAUCUUCCUCUCUCCCUUUUGUGACUUUUUGUCCAAUCUUUCUUUCCUAAUUGAUUGAAGAAGAUUAGACUAAUGAAGAGAAGACCCCACAAGAAUGGUUGAAUAUUCUGUUGUCCCUAGUUAAUGUUGAUGUGAAUUACUGCAGAAUAUGAAUUAGCAACAACUUAAGAAAUACCCUCCUUUGACUCCUAGUGGCCUUGUACCACACAGAAUUUAGUGCCCUUUAGAAGAAGUAUGAUAACCAUUUUUGGAUUUGAUGGCUAAUAAGUUAUUUUCAACUACUUUAAAGAAUGUUUAAUUUCCAUUUUGUAAUGAUUACAGUAAAAUUUCUUAAGUUAUCCAAGGUUACUUAAUAGGUCUCAGAUUACCUAAAUGGAAGUUUAGAUUGGGGAACUAAGGAACCCCACAAGUUUUUAGCAAGAAAAUAAUGGUUUUGCCCAUUUCUGCACUGAGGAGAGCUUACAGGAACUUCAGGAAUGAAGCUGAGGACAUCUCACUUAUCUGGAGAUUCCUGGAAGAGUUGAGUAAGAAAUCGACCUCAAGAAGAUGCUGACUGCAUGCAGCCUCUAGUGCAGAGGUGGAUAAGGAUGCUGGAGGAAGAGCAGCAUCAGGGGCUGUUUCAUUUCCUUUCUCCCAGAUUUGUCCUCAUGUCAGAAGCAGUGCCAGAAACAACUCCACAAUGUGAAUUUCAUCCAAAGAUACCAACCUGGGAUGGAAUGCAUGCUUCCUUAUGGGGCUCUGUGGACUGUCUACUUAGUGCAGUUUCUGCUAGUUAUAGCUCUGAUCAGAAGGAUGGAAAGUUCCCCAGAGCAUGAAGACAACUACCCCAGAGGCCCAAGCUGCUUAUAAAAUCUUCUCCAUAGUAAUGAAGUUUCUGGAGUCUUGACAACAAGGUUUCUGGGGAAUGAGAGAGGAAAAUUGAGCCAAGCUACUCAGGGCUGUUAUUCUGCCAUUAAGUAGCAGUUACCUUUCAUUUCUAUUUCCUUGUCUUCAUAUCAACCAUCUCAGUUACCCAAACUGGAGAAAGGUGAAGAGCUGGUAAGGAAGAAGUAAGCUGAUGGGAUUUUCAUUGGUUUUUCCAGAAGCCAUAGGUUAAGAAGGAGACUUCACCCUAACUUGUCUGGAGGGAUUCAUCAGUGCCCUGAAACCCCAAUAACAGACUUUCUCCUGCCCUAUUCAAACUUUUGACCUUACUUAAACUACUGGGAUACUAAUCACUAAAGCAAAUAGCUCAGCUGUGCAUACUACACCCUUGUCAGAAUUCAACAUUUAUUUAUAAAACUUAAUUUGAAGUCCCAAUCUGGGUUUUGGUUUAUUUGGAAGUAACUUGGAUCCCUCAGGCAGACAAAUGAAGAAAAAAAGGAAUGAUAGGGAUCUUUCCCUAGCAACACUGUCACUGUGUGCCAGGACACAGAAAAAGAGUUCACUGACCAGGAGCCAACCCUGAUGUUUUCUCAAAGAGAAGCUAAAUCCCAGGCCUUGCCAGAAGGCAGAAGAAGGCAAAUCAAGAGUAACAAUUCCUGAUAGACUGUUGAGAACAGCUUUUACCUUUCCCAUAGUUUUCUAACCCCUAUGUUCCUCACUCCAGAGGCUCUUGUUGAGCAUUUGCAGUGUGAGGUGAAGGAGGUUUUUAAAAGGUUCAAGUGUUAUGAGCAUGUGGUAGAAAAAAGACAUUACUAGAAAAAAAAAAAAAAAGGAAAAAGCAUCAACACAGACCUUAAUUUUCAAUCACAUCUUCUAGGGCCAUGGGAGAAGCAUUUAAGGAAAAGUAGAAGAGCAAAGAAUAGGAGGGUCUCACAAGCAAAAAAAAGCAUUUGAGUCAUAAGUAAAGUAUUUCAAUAGGGAA